rnacentral:misc_RNA from 1 species
CCUUUGCAGAAUAUUUGCUUUCUUAACUCAUAUCGGAUUGCACCAGAAUUUAGACGGAUGAUGCUGUUUAUUAAGGCCUAUCAGAGGCAGUGUCGUCUGCAAUCUCUCCUGGGUUUCUCUCUUCAGUUGCAGAUCCCUGCGAUCCUGUUUUUGUCAUCUGGACUGCUCCAGGGGAAUCCUCCUUCUGACUAACUUCAGCCUUUCUAAGAACUGUCUUCUUUUUGGCCUGCUUAGCCCAACCAACCAGACCCCCUUGAAUAUGUUCAUCAAAUAUUGCUUUCUUGAAAUAACUUCCCAUCUGCGUGACAAUUGCAUAGAGCGGUAAUGUACUAUAGCUGCAGACGAACUGAAUGAAAGCCCCUAUGAUGAGUCUUGGGAUAAUGUAGGCAGUUUUUCCCAUUAUACAGGAGUCAAACCCAUAUUGCACCCAAACCCAGAAGAAAAAUGCCAGUUCAAAAGAAUUUUGGAAUAGGAUGACGUGGAUCAAAAUGAGAACAAUCUGAGGUCUCUGGAACCAGAAGUGAGCAUCAGAAGGUUUAACAACCAAGUCCCCCUCAACUGCUACAU